GGGUGAUGUGAUGGCAUACCAUCUUUCGGGACUGACUCUAUAAUGGAGAUUACUUUUUGAUUUUACUGAUCACUU